GGCAGCAGGCAAGAGAGCUUGUGCAGGGGAACUCCCCUUUAAAAACCAUCAGGUCUUGUGAGACUUAUUCAGUAUCAUGAGAAUAGCACAGGGAAGCCCCACCCCCACAAUUCAAUUACCUUCCCCCAGGUCUCUUCUAGCACACAUGGGAAUUAUGGAAGCUAUAAUUCAAGAUGGAGUUUGGUGGGGACACAGCCAAACCAUAUCAGGCAUCACACAGAGCAACCCCUGGGAGGCAUUGAUAUCCCCAGGCAAGGCCCACGGCAGGCCUUGAGAGCAUGGAACAGUGGUGCUUGCAUCAGUGAAUCUUACUAGUUGAAAUAAAGAAAGCCAUCUUUCCACCCCUCACUUCAUGUAAGUCUGACUCCAGGUCCCAUCUCAUUCCUUGGCACAGGUGGUCUUAUU
rnacentral:lncRNA from 1 species